rnacentral:lncRNA from 1 species
UUUUGAAAAAAAGUCGCUCUGAAACCAAGUGGAUCAUGCACUACCAAGAUCACCAAAUUCAGUGUACUGCACACUUUAAAGACAAAAAGAGCAGCUGGAGUGGCUUACCAACUCACUAACAUUUUUUGUUUGUUUACCUUUGGGAGCUCCACAUAUUCUGCAAAGUGAUAAUUGAGGUGAAUGUACGUCUAAUGUAAUUACAGGACUUUAACUUCUUUGGCCAGAGCUAAAAUUGGUGCAUGGUAGACCACGUUACCCUCAAAGUCAGGGGUCCGUAAAAAGAGCAAACGCUGAGGUUAACGUCAGGAAAGAUGUACAAUUGCUUUCUUUAAGUGGUGGCCAAGGUCAUGUUCACUGCAGCUGUCUGU